rnacentral:misc_RNA from 1 species
GAUGAAGAACGCAGCGGAAUGCGAUAAGUAAUGUGAAUUGCAGAAUUCAGUGAAUCAUCGAAUCUUUGAACGCACAUUGCGCCCGCCAGUAUUCUGGCGGGCAUGCCUGUUCGAGCGUCAUUUCAACCAUCAAGCCCCAGGCUUGUGUUGGAGCCCUGCGGCUGCCGCAGCCUCCCAAAACCAGUGGCGGGCUCGCUAUCACACCGAGUGCAGUAGUUUACUCUUCGCUCAGGGCGUGUGGCGGGUGCUAGCCGUAAAACCCCCAACUUCUCAAGGUUGACCUCGGAUCAGGUAGGAAUACCCGCUGAACUUAAGCAUAUCAAUAAGCGGAGGA